CACUGAGCUAAAUCCCCGGCCCAACUCUCUUUUUAACUCAAUUGGCCAAAUAGUUAAAGAAAUGCUUAUGAAUGUUUGCACUUGACUGAGAUAGUGCUAAUCUCAUGUCUGGCUCUUAAGACCCUUUUGGGGCUUACUGUUUGGUUAGACAUAUCUAACCAAAAAUAAUACCUGCCAAAAUAUAAGCUUUAGGUAGAAGAUGUGUUCAGGAAAGAAUGGGCCAUAAAGGAAAUCUGUGUGCGUGGAGAGGGAGGGCUCGAGGACCCAUUAGGAACUCUUUCAUGGAAAAGCGACUUUGAAGAUGAAUUUGGUGAAACUCACCAACUCUUUAACAUCCAGCUCAAAUUCAGCCUUACACACCCUUCAUUUCUGUUGCCAAAUAAUAACUGGUUUUGUGUCUGUAUUGUAAUCCUUUUUUUCAACAUUUCUUAUUCAAAUUACUUCAGACGUCAUGUUAUGAUAUUAUAAAUAUGUUGAAAUACAGCAUUUUUAAUCUUUUUUUUGCAUCCUUAAAUCCUUUCAAAAGAGGAAACUUGAAUAUUCUAAGGACUCAAAGGCUGCAGAAGUAAAUAAACCAGAUUACUCUUGGACUUUAUAGGUAUCUUAAAUAAUUCUGUCCCCUUACUGGGCAUUUGAGUUACAUAUAUGCCUUAACUGGCAUUCAGUCUUAAUACAGGAAAGAGUAUGAGUCUAAAGGAAAAAUACAUCAAGUUGGAAAGAGGACUAUUUUUUUUAUCCUCUGAUCAAAAAUGAACACUACUCUUUUCAAAGAGAGCUAUACAUAAACAUCCAGUUUUUCUGCUCCCUGAAAGAGGCUCCUAUCUGGCCAAGUGCAGCCUUGAAUGUUAAUUUUCUUCCAUUGAAAGCACCUGGGACUCAAAGGCUUCUCCUCCUGCUGCACAAGAGCAGUUUUAUCUGCCACCCAGGAUUUGGGGUGACCCAAUUCUGUCACUUUGCUGGGAACGAAUAAAUAAAAGAAAAUUGGUUGACAGAGAUAAAAAGCACAGCAAAGGUAUGGAGGGGGAUGAAGCCCAGGAAAAAUACCAAUAAGGCACUUUUUUGGGCACUGUUGGUUUCAAAUGAGAUUUUAUGGCUGUUCUUAAUGUUGGUUUAAAAGCUCCAGUACGUCUAGCAAACCUGAAGACUCCAUCCAGAGAGAACACUGGUGAACCUGCUCCUCAGUGGCACAGGACAUGACUGGGCUCCCCUGCUGGCUGGGAGGCUAACAAUGGUAGACCCAGUGCCCUUGGGCCAUUGCAAAAGCAGCUCUACCAUAAGCAAGAGCACUGGUUCUUGGGUGUGCUGACUGACAGUGCCUGCUCGUUCAAACACGUGACAGCUGGAUAGAGACGUGCUGAGUGAAGUUCCUGCCGACCUUGUUCCAAAUGGCGUAGGCUGUUACGUUGGAGAGGUUGGUGCUACCUUCCCCGAGAUGGGGUCUAACAGCCCGCUACGGUCUUCUCAACACUCUUCAACGAGAAGCACCAUUGCUACAUGUGUGAGGUAACAUCAGAGCCUCACAUUUCAGAAGCGCCUCUUUUCAUCCUGCUCUUUUCUGGAUUUCACAAUACAUUCAUUUAGGGAAUUUUAGGCAUCAGGGGAAUGGAUCCAAAACCUGAGUCACCAUUUUUGUUCUGGCUGCAAGCUGCUAAUAAUUCUCCAAUCAGUAGGGACAGGGGAAGCUUCAGUUAAUCAUCAGGCUCUUCAGAUCCCUGCUGGAAGAAAUCAGGCUCUUGCUAGGAUUCUAGGACACAGGGAGAUGUCACCCAUGGAGAGUCAUACCUGCAGCUGUCUCUGCAGCCAGCAGAAAAAAUAGUUCUGAGUGGACCAAAGAAAGGGAGAGAGAGAGCCUGGAGAGAAGAAGGAAGCAAAUGCGGGGUAAAUGGUCCUCAAGACAAAGGAAGUCCUAGGAGCCUUUUGCUGACUCUUGUUCCUGGCUUCCUGAGUCUACCCCUUGGCUUCCCAGGGAAACAGCUAUCCACAGCCUUGCAACAAUCUCCAGCUUUCCACUGUGGUCUCUUCACUGCUGUCUCGACAACCCCACAAGGGCUCCUUCCCCACACUCAGCACCUCUACCUCUCAAACUGUAGCUGUCUAACAUUGAAAAGGUGAUGCUGGCUGGGGAUUUCGCUCAAUGGUGCCACCUCCUGCCUCAUAAGCGCAAGGUCCCAAGUUCGAUCCUAGGUACCAAAAAAAAAAAAAGAACAGAAAAAGAGAAAAUGUGAUGCUGAAGGAUCAUUGUUGUAAAUUCUUCUAUUUUGAUGCUGUUUUGUAUCUAUUCUUACAUAGGUUGACUUUCUCAGGCUGGAAGCAAGACUCAGUUGGCAGUUUCCAGUUCUCACCUGGUCCUGGUUCUUCCACAUUACUGAUCCAGGUGUUUGCCUUCCACACUGCAUUGUGGUAGCCACUCGACCAGUAGGCACAACCUGCUGGACUCCUGCCACCACGUCAUGUGCUCACGGAUGGGGCAGGUGUUUGUAGUGGGCUCUCAGUCACAGCAUGACUCCAUAGCACUUGUGCCUGCUUGCUCUAAACCAAACAAUUAGACAGUUCACAGAGAUUAUUGUGUUUUCCUUACGCUGCUGCCCAUCAGCUUUUCAAAAAUUAUAUUUAGGAGGAUUUAAAAAGAGGGAGGAUUGUGAAGUGCUGUGUACAUGCACUAAGUCCCUGAGAGGAAUGUGAUCAUCAUGCAAUACAAACAUAUCUCUGUGUAUAUAUCUGUCUCCAGGAGAUGCAGAGAGGGAGAGGGAGGGGAGGGAAGUGGGUACAAAAAAAAAGAAUUAAGAAAUGUCAUGUACACAUACUAACUCCCCACUACAAACAUGAACGAAACUAGAUUAUGAACACAAUUUUUAAAACUGACACAUAUUCAAAGUCCACCUGAAAUUUUGCUAACUUUUUUUUUUUUUUUUUUUGGUACCGGGGAUGGAACUCGGGUUCUUGCAUUUGUGAGGCAGGUGGUAGAAACACUGAGCUAAAUUCCUGGCCCUGCUAAUUUAUUUUUUGUAAUUAUUAGUAACGUAUCAAAAUAUUUCCUCUUUUCAAUAAAAGGAUUAUAAAUUAUAUUUGUCUAAGUAUGAAGAAAAUGCUAAAGAAAAACUAAAAG
rnacentral:lncRNA from 1 species